CACGGGUUUUCUAUCAUAUCCAUAACACCUGUGCACUUGUUGGAUGUUCUAAAGACGUAGGCUGAAAGCUGAAGUCAAUAGUCAUCCACUUACACUAAACAAUAAUGUAACAAAUGUAGUCUUAUUAUAACAUAAUAAAACUUUCAACAACGGAUCUCUUGGCUCUCGCAUCGAUGAAGAACGCAGCGAAAUGCGAUAAGUAAUGUGAAUUGCAGAAUUCAGUGAAUCAUCGAAUCUUUGAACGCACCUUGCGCUCCUUGGUAUUCCGAGGAGCAUGCCUGUUUGAGUGUCAUGAAAACCCUCAACCUUAGAUUGGUUAUUUGACCUUUCUUUGGCUUGGAUUUGGACGUUUGCCGAUGUCAAGUCGGCUCGUCUUAAAAGUAAUAGCUGGAUCUGUCUCGCGACAUGGUUUGACUUGGCGUAAUAAGUAUUUCGCUAAGGACAUCUUCGGAUGGCCCUGUUGCAGGACUAAAGACUGCUUUCUAAUCCAUUGAUCUUCGGAUUAAUAUUCAUAACAUCUGGCCUCAAAUCAGGUAGGACUACCCGCUGAACUUAAGCAUAUCAAUAAGCGGAGGA
rnacentral:rRNA from 1 species